rnacentral:rRNA from 1 species
UACGUAGGGGCCGAGCGUUGUCCGGAGUUAUUGGGCGUAAAGCGCGCGCAGGCGGCUUCGCGCGCCCGCCCGUGAAAGCCCCCGGCUUAACCGGGGAGAGUCGGUGGGGACGGCGGAGCUUGAGGGCGGGAGAGGUCGGUGGAAUUCCCGGUGUAGUGGUGAAAUGCGUAGAGAUCGGGAGGAACACCUGUGGCGAAGGCGGCCGACUGGGCCGACCCUGACGCUGAGG